CCUACGGGUGGCAGCAGUGGGGAAUAUUGCACAAUGGGCGCAAGCCUGAUGCGGCCAUGCCGCGUGUGUGAAGAAGGCCUUCGGGUUGUAAAGCACUUUCAGCGGGGAGGAAGGCGGUGAGGUUAAUAACCUCAUCGAUUGACGUUACCCGCAGAAGAAGCACCGGCUAACUCCGUGCCAGCAGCCGCGGUAAUACGGAGGGUGCAAGCGUUAAUCGGAAUUACUGGGCGUAAAGCGCACGCAGGCGGUCUGUCAAGUCGGAUGUGAAAUCCCCGGGCUCAACCUGGGAACUGCAUUCGAAACUGGCAGGCUAGAGUCUUGUAGAGGGGGGUAGAAUUCCAGGUGUAGCGGUGAAAUGCGUAGAGAUCUGGAGGAAUACCGGUGGCGAAGGCGGCCCCCUGGACAAAGACUGACGCUCAGGUGCGAAAGCGUGGGGAGCAAACAGGAUUAGAUACCCUAGUAGUC
rnacentral:rRNA from 1 species